AGCGAACGCUGGCGGCAGGCCUAACACAUGCAAGUCGAACGGACCCUUCGGGGUUAGUGGCGGACGGGUGAGUAACACGUGGGAACGUGCCUUUAGGUUCGGAAUAGCUCCUGGAAACGGGUGGUAAUGCCGAAUGUGCCCUUCGGGGGAAAGAUUUAUCGCCUUUAGAGCGGCCCGCGUCUGAUUAGCUAGUUGGUUGAGGUAACGGCUCACCAAGGCGACGAUCAGUAGCUGGUCUGAGAGGAUGGCCAGCCACAUUGGGACUGAGACACGGCCCAAACUCCUACGGGAGGCAGCAGUGGGGAAUCUUGCGCAAUGGGCGAAAGCCUGACGCAGCCAUGCCGCGUGAAUGAUGAAGGUCUUAGGAUUGUAAAAUUCUUUCACCGGGGACGAUAAUGACGGUACCCGGAGAAGAAGCCCCGGCUAACUUCGUGCCAGCAGCCGCGGUAAUACGAAGGGGGCUAGCGUUGCUCGGAAUUACUGGGCGUAAAGGGCGCGUAGGCGGACAUUUAAGUCAGGGGUGAAAUCCCAGAGCUCAACUCUGGAACUGCCUUUGAUACUGGGUGUCUUGAGUGUGAGAGAGGUAUGUGGAACUCCGAGUGUAGAGGUGAAAUUCGUAGAUAUUCGGAAGAACACCAGUGGCGAAGGCGACAUACUGGCUCAUUACUGACGCUGAGGCGCGAAAGCGUGGGGAGCAAACAGGAUUAGAUACCCUGGUAGUCCACGCCGUAAACGAUGAUUGCUAGUUGUCGGGCUGCAUGCAGUUCGGUGACGCAGCUAACGCAUAAGCAA
rnacentral:rRNA from 1 species